UAGAUUGAAGCCAGUUGAAUAAGGCAUUUAGCUGUUAACUAAGUUUUUACAGGUUUAAAUCCUGUCAAUCUAG
rnacentral:tRNA from 1 species